rnacentral:rRNA from 1 species
GGUUAAGCGACUAAGCGUACACGGUGGAUGCCCUGGCAGUCAGAGGCGAUGAAGGGCGUGCUAAUCUGCGAUAAGCGCCGGUAAGGUGAUAUGAACCGUUAUAACCGGCGAUACCCGAAUGGGGAAACCCAGUGUGACUCGUCACACUAUCAUUAACUGAAUCCAUAGGUUAAUGAGGCGAACCGGGGGAACUGAAACAUCUAAGUACCCCGAGGAAAAGAAAUCAACCGAGAUUCCCCCAGUAGCGGCGAGCGAACGGGGAGGAGCCCAGAGCCUGAAUCAGCAUGUGUGUUAGUGGAAGCGUCUGGAAAGGCGCGCGAUACAGGGUGACAGCCCCCGUACACAAAAGCGC